ensembl:snRNA U6 U6 spliceosomal RNA
GUGCUCCCUUCGGCAGCACAUAUACUAAAAAACUGGAACCAUACAGAGAAGAUUAGGAUGCACAAGGAUGACACGCAAAUUCGUGAAGCGUUCCAUAUUAAA